GUUUGCCUACGGGACGCAGCAGUGGGGGAUAUUGCACAAUGGGGGGAACCCUGAUGCAGCGACGCCGCGUGAACGAAGAAAUAUUUCGGUAUGUAAAGUUCUAUCAGCAGGGAAGAAAAUGACAGUACCUGACCAAGAAGCCCCGGCUAACUACGUGCCAGCAGCCGCGGUCAUACGUAGGGGGCGAGCGUUAUCCGGAUUCACUGGGCGUACAGGGAGCGCAGGCGGCACGGCACGUCCGGUGUGCAAGCC
rnacentral:rRNA from 1 species